rnacentral:rRNA from 1 species
UGGGGAAUUGUUCACAAUGGGCGCAAGCCUGAUGACGCAACGCCGCGUGGAGGAUGAAGGUCUUCGGAUUGUAAACUCCUGUUGCCAGGGACGAAAAGCUUCGACCUAAUACGUCGAAGUCUGACGGUACCUGGUGAGGAAGCCCCGGCUAACUCUGUGCCAGCAGCCGCGGUAAUACAGAGGGGGCAAGCGUUGUUCGGAAUUACUGGGCGUAAAGGGCGCGUAGGUGGCCUUCUAAGUCGAACGUGAAAUCCCUGGGCUCAACCCAGGAACUGCGUCCGAGACUGGGAGGCUUGAAUCCGGGAGAGGGAUGCGGAAUUCCAGGUGUAGCGGUGAAAUGCGUAGAUAUCUGGAGGAACACCGGUGGCGAAGGCGGCAUCCUGGACCGGUAUUGACACUGAGGCGCGAAAGCCAGGGGAGCAAACGGGAUUAGAUACCCCGGUAGUCCCUGAGCGGGCUGGCAAGGCGCAU